UCCCCCCCAGCGCGCGCCCCGCCUCCCCACGCCCAGCCCCGCACCUCCCCACCUUGCGCGCCCAGCCCAAGCUCCGCUUUCCUUCCGGGGAAAGAGAAAAGGUCCCGGCUCCGCCACCGCCUCUUAAAGGGGCAGCAGCGCCCCUCCCUCCUCAUCCUCCCUAAACCGACUCCGCCCUCUCCCCCAAACACCUGUCGGGAGCCCCCAAAAGCUUGUAUUUCCUCUCCCCGCCCCUUGCUCCUCCGGAGAAGCGUUGCCUAUCGAGCAAGAUGGAUUGGACGGGCGGGGCCGUGGGUGGGAUUUGUCUGGCCGCUUUGCUGCGGCUGCUACUGCUGCUGGAAAGGCCAUUACAGGCGCGGCCACUUCUGCCGGCCCGGCCCGAGAGCCCCGGCGUUGUCGCAUGUGGCUGGGAACGACACUCGCGCACCGCUGGCUGGAAUGCCCGACUCGCCUCUGCCACGCUGUGAGUCCCUGAGACGCGGCUGGCGGUCUCUGGGCGUUCUUCCUCGCAUUUGGCCCCUUUGCUGUCCCUGUCGAGAUUUGCUUCUCUUGCCCACCCGCCCCUACCCACUCUGAUCCAAGCUAGUAAUGGUGCCUCAGCAAAGCCAGGCACAUAUUUAACGGUGGUGAUAACCAAGUAUCGCUAAUUGUAAUUAGCAACACGACACUGUUUUCCCCAAAGGGCUGCGCCUUCUGGUAUCCCUUGAUGUGAAAGUGAGUCCUUUCUCCUUAGAGUGCACUGCGUCCCCAGUGAGCUGGGCCCAGACUGUACCCAUUUCUUAUCCGAUCUUGCCUUCAGGGCCCAGCCCAGCAGAAUUCCAAAGGUCCUCUCCUCCCACCCAGGCUCACACUGAGUGUUUGAAGACUGGGCGGGGACGUCAGCCCCCACAGGUGUGUAAUAGGUGGCACCAGGUGGCGGCAGGUGGGCAGGGCCCAUGGUUCUGGUUACCCGCAGAAGGAUGGAACUUCAAGAGGUCACUAUUUACUCACUUGCAUCUCACUCAGGUUUCCCUUAUUGCAGCGUGAAGACCCAUUUACCCUGAGCAUUCUUUUCUCUAGGCUAAAGGAGCUUUCUUAUUUGGGUCCAGGAAUUCAGCCCUCAGCGUUCACUCCCUUGAAGUUCCGUUUAGAGCCCCUACUCUGAAAGCUUAUAAGAAGAAGAAAACUACCGUUUAGAUCAGGAAGGCUUCCUGGAGGAGGAGUAGCUGGACAAGGGAGAAGGAGGAGGAGGAAGAGGAGCUAAACAGCUAGCAAGAGGAAGCUUUGGGAGAGAAGAAAGCGGAAGAAUUGGGGCCGGGUUUGAGGUGAAGUUUUCCCGGUCGCAACAAUGACAACAUCAAUAUUCUAUAAAGAUACGGGGCCAGCGGAGGCAGGCGCCUGGUCCCGGCAACUUCCCUGGCUCAGAAUCUGUCAGCCUCAAGCAUUCAUCGACAACCUGCUGUGUACCAGCACAGAGCUGAGAACCGCCAGGGGUGUCAGAGAUGAACCAGAGCAUCUUCAGGAAGCCGGAGUUUCAUCCUGGCCUCACAUUCUGAAAGCUCUCAAAUUCAAACAGCCUAAACCCACAUUGCAUUGUAUCUAGGGCUGGUGCUUGUGCGGUCACGGGAUGGGGGUGUUUGAAAGAAUAUUUUGGCUACCAUAAUUUGGGCAAGGGGUGAGGUAGGCUGAGCAGGGACAGGGGCAGAGGGAGGGAGGGAGAGGGUGAGUGAGAAGGAGCCAGGCCACUGACUUGACUUGGACUCCAAGUACAGGUGUGGUGGGGUGUGCCAGGGCUGGGAGAGGGAAAGAGCAGAGGGGGCAGGCCUCAAACAUCAGGAAACUUCCCUGCCAGCCAGUCCUCCCCCCAACCCCCCAUCUUUCUAGUUCCUCCAACCGUCUCUGUAGUGCCCUCGCUGCCACCCGUGGCCUGGCCUUGCUGCACAUGCCCUAACCUCCUGGCUGGGAGAUUAGGACUCUGGUGGGCUCUACAGAGUUCUCCAUCUCUUGCCAAGGUGACCCCUUCAAGGUUGAGAGGCUAUGGGGGCCCAUGUGGUAGCCCCAGCUGAGUUGAGUCCCCAGUCCUCAGGGGCCUUGCUAUUUCCUAGGGAGAUGCCUUCUUACUGGCAGGGUUCUGUGCUCAGGUGGGAAAUCCGGGCAGAUUGGGGGCUUCAUCUACCUCCCCCGCCCACCCAUACUAACUCCCUAAAGACUCUGCUGGGGGUGGAGGGCCAUGUGUGGUUAUCCCUGGAGAGCUCCUGCAUAUACGUGGGUUGGAAUGUGUGUUUGUGCAUGCAUUCACACAUGUUUGCCUAUGUGAUGACAUGUCUCCAAAUGCUUUGUGUACAUCUGAAUGUGGAAAGGGGGCCGUAUUUACUGAGCACCUACUGUGUGCCUGGCCCUUUGUGUAUGUUAUCUUCUAACAGUCCAAGGAGGUGGAGCUGUCUCCCACUUUACAGCUGAAAAUGCUGAGAUGACCAACCUCCACUACGUGCCCCCUACCCACCCUGUGCCCCCAGUCAUCUUGGCCUCUGUUCUUCCAGGAUGCCACAGCUUACAAGUCACAUGCUCUGAGUGGGAUCACCUGUCUGCUGUCCCUGGAGUGAGGAUCCCAUCCUUGGGUCAUCCUGGCCCCUUCCAGCUCCCCCACCAGACUGAAGCCCCCUCCCUCUCACUGAAGCCUUCUCUCCGUGGGCACCAGCCUCCUCCGAUGGGCAGACCCAAUAGCUGUCUUUGGUCCUUUGGCCCUGGCCUCUCUAGGGUGACAGCAGUUACCUUGUGGACUGCCCUCUGCAAACGCCUCUGCGCCCUCUCCUGGUCCUUCUUCCUGACUGUCCCUUCCCAGCACCCUCGCCCCCUUGGUGAGACUCCUCAGCCCACCCUGGGCUUCCGUUCACAUUCCUUAUCCCUCUGUCUCUCCAGACCACCCCCUGUGCAUUAGCAUUCUCCUGCAUGCUGGGAACACGGGCCCAGGCUCCUCCAGGCUCCAACCUUGAGGUCCAACUCUCACGAACCACCUCUAGCUGGCCGCCCACAGGCCCCUCAGAGUCCGAGUGUCCAGAACGGGCUCAGCAUCUCCCCCUCAUCCCUAUAGCCUGCUCCCCUGUAAUGGCCUCUGUCUCAGUGCCUCGACCCCAGCAGGAUUCCACGGACACACCGGGGCUGGUCCAUGCCACUUGACCUUUGCACAUGCUGGUCCCUCUGCCCGGAAUGCCCUUUACCCCCUUGUCCAUUUGGAAAAUAUCCACUUGUUCUUCGAAAUCUUUCAUGAAUUUUCUUCCUUUACCCUUUCCCCCUGCACCCCUGCGUGUGCACACACACGUAGUCACUCUUGAAUCUUCCAGGCCUUGCGCUGACUUGUAGCCUGGACUUGCAGUGUGAUUAUAGACUGGCAGGGCUGUGACAUUGGACAAGUCCUUUCACCUCUCUUAGCCUCAGCUUCUCACUAUAAAUUGGACGUUAACAUACUAGA